UGGGGAAUAUUGCACAAUGGGGGAAACCCUGAUGCAGCGACGCCGCGUGAAGGAAGAAGUAUUUCGGUAUGUAAACUUCUAUCAGCAGGGAAGAAAAUGACGGUACCUGACUAAGAAGCCCGGCUAACUACGUGCC
rnacentral:rRNA from 1 species